CCUACGGGAGGCAGCAGUGGGGAAUAUUGCACAAUGGGGGAAACCCUGAUGCAGCGACGCCGCGUGAGUGAAGAAGUAUUUCGGUAUGUAAAGCUCUAUCAGUAGGGAAGAAAUAGCGACCUUUGGGUCGCCAGACGGUACCUGACUAAGAAGCCCCGGCUAACUACGUGCCAGCAGCCGCGGUAAUACGCAGGGGGCAAGCGUUAUCCGGAUUUACUGGGUGUAAAGGGAGUGUAGACGGCAGCGCAAGUCUGAAGUGAAAUGCCGGGGCUUAACCCCGGAACUGCUUUUGAAACUGUGCAGCUAGAGUGCGGGAGAGGUAGGUGGAAUUCCUGGUGUAGCGGUGAAAUGCGUAGAUAUUAGGAGGAACACCAGUGGCGAAGGCGGCUUACUGGACUGUAACUGACGUUGAGGCUCGAAAGCGUGGGGAGCAAACAGGAUUAGAUACCCCAGUAGUC
rnacentral:rRNA from 1 species